ensembl:lncRNA
GGCGACUUUCCGUGUGACGGCCCCGGGCCGCCAUUCCCUCCCGGCCGGGCCCGCAGGCGGCGCUGCGCCCGCGCUGCUCCCGGCGCUGCUGGGGCGCUCCUGCUCCUGCCCUCACGGCCGCUUCCAGCGCUGCCCCUGCGCCCCGCCGGGAUGGCGGCACUGCUGGGCCGCUCCUGCCCUCACGGCCGCUUCCAGCGCUGCCCCUGCGCCCCACCGGGAUGGCGGCACUGCUGGGCCGCCCCUGCCCUCACGGGCCCCUCCAGCCUUGCCCACACGCCCCGCCGGGAUGGCGGCACUGCUGGGCCGCUCCUGCCCUCACGGCCGCUUCCAGCCUUGCCCACACGCCCCGCCGGGAUGGCGGCACUGCUGGGCCGCCCCUGCCCUCACGGCCGCUUCCAGCGCUGCCCCUGCGCCCCACGGGGAUGGCGGCACUGCUGGGCUGCUCCUGCCCUCACGGGCCGCCUCCAGCCUUGCCCACACGCCCCGCCGCCAGCAGGGACAGGACACGUACGGGCAGCCCGCGGGGAGCGCUUGCUCCGAGCUGUGCCCUGCGGCCGAACACGGGCCCUCAGCAGCUCCCGCUGCAGGAGAGACGUGCUGAAUUCUCGCUGACCCGGGCUAAUUUCAGAGAGGCUGGAGGCAAUGGUAGCUGCCCCUGUGCUCCAACCCCGAGUGUGGGACCGCUCCAGGCAAACCGGAGCCCGGCCCCGCCGGCCCGCGGCCGAGCCCUCCUGCUGCCAGCCCCGGCAAUGCGGCCGCUGGCUGUGUCCGCCUGAGCUGCUUUAAGCACCACAGCCCCUGGAGGCUUUUCCGCUUUUUGUUUUCAGGGUUUGUCUGCGGGCCAGCUGACGGCUAAACUCGGGUGACCUUCCUCUCCCAGCGAGGCUGACGCCGGUGCACGGUAUCGAUCUCACUGCGGUACGGGAGGUGCAGCCAAAGCACCGAGACGCACUCACCUCGUACAGCGUAGCACAGUGAACUUUCAGAAAGUAAAAGUGCUUGCUCAGGAGGCUGAUAGAGUAAAUCAUCAAAAACACCCGCUGUCCAUUGUGCCUCUUGACAUUCAUUGUGCUGCAGCUGCGACUUGUUUUAUUGACUCGUUAUAGGGAUGUAAUGCAUUGGGAAGUUAGAAACUUGCAAAGGGAAGUAUUUGCUGUCCCAUAAAUUGUCCCUCUAAUUUUGUAACACAUUACAUUUAAAGGCAGGUCAUAAUGUUCCCAAUCAGUUACCAAAAGGUAGGUCUCUAACUAAAAAUUACUUGAGUGAGGAGCUGAGGAACUUGCAUCAAAUUUGAGCGCUGAAAAACAGGCCAGUUUGAAUUAACUGCUGGUGGAGCCUAGCUCUGAAAACACGGUCUGCUGUCACCAGGUACAACACUUACCUUUUGAAACAGAUCCAGGGAAUGAACAAGCAUAAAAAUAUUCCAGAUAACUUCAGGGUGCUAUUCAGUGAUACUGGCUGCCUGUUCCACUAAGAGGCCUGACACACCACUGGAUAUGCAUCUGCUUGACCCUGGACAGGUUCUUCAGCUAGAACCAAAUCCACACUCUGCUUGUUGUACAAGAGGAAAAUGGGGGAUUGGGAUGAGCAAGAGUCAGUUUUCUUCCCCUCCAAGUAUUCUUGCAUGGACUGAGUAGGUAACUGUACAAGUAAGCUGAAUCAUAAUGGGGGCUGCUUAGAUUUUUGAACAGGUGAUUGGCCUUUUUCUCCCAUUUAUAAAUCUUAUACAUAUUAGUUUCAUAAUUUCUUUCAGCAGACUUUUGAGCUGCAGCAUCGAGAGCUGCAGCAAAUAUUUGUUUUGUUUAUUGCUUAUUUUUCAAAUGUCAUCAUGCACCAGAGGUCUGCAGGAGCUCAUCACUUCCCAGGGACAAGAAGACUGCAAGAACCUUCUGAUGUGGAACAGUCUGUGCAGUCUUCUGCCUACAAUAAACUUUUUUCCCUGUAUGUGGGCAAAAAGACGGAAUAUCACAGAAAUUAAAAAACAGAUUGAAGCUCUCAUUGUGUUUAAGCUGCAGUAUAUAUUAGGAUAUGGCAUUUGUCUAAUGAUGAGUCUUAUG